CCUACGGGAGGCAGCAGUGGGGAAUAUUGCACAAUGGGGGAAACCCUGAUGCAGCGACGCCGCGUGAGUGAAGAAGUAUCUCGGUACGUAAAGCUCUAUCAGCAGGGAAGAAAAUGACGGUACCUGACUAAGAAGCCCCGGCUAACUACGUGCCCGCAGCCGCGUUAAUGCGUAGGGGGCAAGCGUUAUCCGGAUUUACUGGGUGUAAAGGGAGCGUAGACGGCAGCACAAGUCUGGAGUGAAAUCCCGGGGCUUAACCCCGGAACUGCUUUGGAAACUGUGGGGCUGGAGUGCAGGAGGGGUAAGCGGAAGUCCUAGUGUAGCGGUGAAAUGCGUAGAUAUUAGGAGGAACACCGGUGGCGAAGGCGGCUUACUGGACUGUAACUGACGUUGAGGCUCGAAAGCGUGGGGAGCAAACAGGAUUAGAUACCCCUGUAGUC
rnacentral:rRNA from 1 species